GACAGAGGGGGCAAGCGUUGCUCGGAAUCACUGGGCGUAAAGGGCGCGUAGGCGGGAUGGCAAGUCGGUCGUGAAAUCCUUCGGCUCAACCGAAGAACGUCGGCCGAUACUGCCGUUCUUGAGGGAUGCAGAGGAGAUUGGAAUUCCUGGUGUAGCGGUGAAAUGCGCAGAUAUCAGGAGGAACACCGGUGGCGAAGGCGGUUCUCUGGGAAUAUCCUGACGCUGAGGAGCGAAAGUGUGGGGAGCGAACAGG
rnacentral:rRNA from 1 species